CCUACGGGGGGCAGCAGUGGGGAAUAUUGCACAAUGGGGGAAACCCUGAUGCAGCGACGCCGCGUGAGUGAGGAAGUAUUUCGGUAUGUAAAGCUCUAUCAGCAGGGAAGAAAAUGACGGUACCUGACUACGAAGCCCCGGCUAACUACGUGCCAGCAGCCGCGGCAAUACGUAGGGGGCAAGCGUUAUCCGGAUUUACUGGGUGUAAAGGGAGCGUAGACGGCUAAUCAAGUCAGAAGUGAAAACCCAGGGCUCAACUUUGGGACUGCUUUUGAAACUGAGUAGCUAGAGUGUAGGAGAGGUAAGCGGAAUUCCUAGUGUAGCGGUGAAAUGCGUAGAUAUUAGGAGGAACACCAGUGGCGAAGGCGGCUUACUGGACUGUAACUGACGUUGAGGCUCGAAAGCGUGGGGAGCAAACAGGAUUAGAUACCCUUGUAGUC
rnacentral:rRNA from 1 species